GUGCCAGCAGCCGCGGUAAUACAGAGGUGGCAAGCGUUGUUCGGAUUUAUUGGGCGUAAAGGGUCCGUAGGCGGCCUGAAAAGUUGGAUGUGAAAUCCCACAGCUUAACUGUGGAACUGCAUUCAAAACUUUCAGGCUCGAGUGUGAUAGGGGUAAAGGGAAUUCCCGGUGUAAGGGUGAAAUCUGCAGAGAUCGGGAGGAACACCAGUCGCGAAGGCGCUUUACUGGAUCACUACUGACGCUGAGGGACGAAAGCCAGGGGAGCAAACGGGAUUAGAUACCCCGGUAGUCC
rnacentral:rRNA from 1 species